AUAUGUGGAUAUACAUAAUAUAACACAGUUUAUACAAAUAAUAUUUUAUGUAGAUUUUAAGAUAUUUAUCUAAAAACAACAUUUCUUAGAAAACUAUAUUUUCUCAUUAUAUGAUUUUUGAAUAUUCCAAUGACAUAUUUUUCUGAUGUUCUUGUUUUAUUUUGCUGUUAAUGUGUUCAGGAUUUUUCAUAUGUUAAGAUUGUAUAAUACCACAUUGCCUGAUCUGCUAUGGUCUCCUUACCACUUGUUCUGUUAAUUGGCAUCUAGACUUGGUUCAGUUUUUCACUCAGUCAGUGUGCAAUGCAAGGGACACCUUUGGAAAUAUUUCCUGUAACAUUUUAAAAUCUAAAGUAGAGGAUGUACAAUGUGAGAUUCAUCAUUUAUUUUUAUCUUAUAUGAAAUAGAUUAGCUUAAUGGGCUGCUCUGUGUCUGGCAAGAUUAAACCUAAAAACGAGGAAAGAGGGGAGGAAGUCAGAAGAAGAGGCUAUUCAUUCCCACCUUUUUCAGUUCAAUAGUACCAGUAUCUAUCUAGGAAACCCCAGCAUGUCCCAAUUUUUUCAAUAGCUUUCCUCCUUUACUUUCUGUUUCAGAAAAUGCCUUAGAAUAUUAUGUGUUUCAGAAAUAUAUGCUAAUUAACCACUAUUGAUUAUCUACAUGAUACAAAUAAAAUAUUCAGCAUGCAA
rnacentral:lncRNA from 1 species